rnacentral:rRNA from 1 species
GUGCACCAGGCGUGGGUGGAUUUACCCCCAUCCGUGUCUGAGCUAACGCCAUUAAGUGCACCGCCUGGGAGUACGGUCGCCAAGAUUAAAACUCAAAGGAAUUGACGGGGACCCCCACAACCGGUGGACCAUUGGCUUAAUUCGAUGCAACGCGAAAAACCUUACCUAGACUUGACAUAUAGCUGCAUACGACCCGAAAGAGACGUACCCUUCGAGGGUGCUAUACAGGUGCUCCAUGGCUGUCGUCAGCUCGUGCCGUGAAGUGUUGGGUUAAGUCCCGCAACGAGCGCAACCCCUGUGUUUAGUUCCCAGCACGUAAUGGUGGGAACUCUAAACAGACUGCUGGUGAAAACCAGAGGAAGGUGGGGAUGACGUCAAGUCAGUAUGGUCCUUAUGUCCAGGGCUGCACACGUGCUACAAUGGGCGAUACAAUAGGAAGCCAAGCCGCGAGGUGGAGCAAAUCCUCAAAAUCGCCCCCAGUU